rnacentral:lncRNA from 1 species
CUCCAUCACUCCAUCCAUGAAUCUCAGCCUUAACAGCUGAAGGGUCUCUGCAUAUCAAGUCCCACACCGGAAAGUUCUUCCUUGGCAUCAUAAAGUCCUUUUCUUUCAGCCUCAAACUUGGGCAAUAGUCUCCACUGCCAUCUCCAAGAUAGAUCAACCUCUUAUCCUCUUCUGAUAUUGAAUCUUGCAUCCUCUUUAUCACUAAACCCUGCAAUCAUUCAAAUCAAAUUACAUUUUACAAUCAUAAGAUAAUUGCACAUAAUUUUUUAUAUAUUAUGAACUAUUGGUGGGGCCUAGGUCAAAAUUAUUCUUUAUUUUAUACUUCAAUCAAAUCCUGUGGGCUCAUAUCAGAGAGAAAACCAGAAUGGAAUGGUUGGUUGGUUAAGAAAAGUUUUGGUAUUUUUUAAGGCCAACAAAUCAGGUGACAGCACUCCAUUGUUAGUUCUUGUCAACAUAAUUAACAAUAGAAAACAAUACUUUCCCAGAAGCUCAAACCAGUUAACAUCAACUUCAAAACAAUAUCUGGGAAUGUGUACUGUUCCCAACUGUCUAUAUAAAUAGCAGUUUUGAGUUUUUAAACUACCAAGGUGUUUCAAAUCAGCAUUAACUCUCUUAAAAUUUCAACUCUCAACAUGGUUUUGAUAAAUCAAACAGUUCACAUUAUUUCAAAAGAAGUUAUCUUUUAGCAAAGAAAAAUACGGUAGUGGAUGAAAGAUGACAUCUAUAUUUACCUUACACAUGUUUGGAGGACACAAACUGCAGCCAUGAGGAGAUCUGUUGAAAUCAUGGCAAGGUAGAAUCCUUAACCUUCCUUCUUCAUUCACAUAACCGGGGUUAGUAUUGAUCUCUGAGAAAUAUUCCCUUAUUCCUAAGUGCUUCAAAAUUGACUCAAUGAAAAACAAGUUUGCGUCACUCACAAUCCUCAAAUCACACCUGGAAAAACAAAUGCCACCAUAAAUUUAAUCCACAAAAUCACAUUAAAAAAAAGUAACAAAAUUUGCAUGCAUAGUUACAUACCCUGAAGCAUGAGCUGCUUUAACAGCGGGUAUUACCCUGGGGUGCAAGGGAAUCUUAUGCAGAACCUCUUCAAUGUCCUUAAUGGUUUUACCCUGUGAGUGAAGCUCCAUCAUCAUCUUGUCCUAUAAAUCCAAAACCAAAACAAACAAAAAAUAACAAACGGUUAUUCAUACCAUUAACACAAAAUCUAAAAAAAAAAUAUACAAAAAAGGAAGAAAAAAACUAAUUCUUAGAUAUAUUUUAACUGUUCUUGGUUACAUUGCCGCAUUAUUUGUUAAUCUUUAAUGCAAAAAUAAUUUAACCAAAAUUAGAAAAUGAAACUUUAAUGGCAAAGAACACUUAGCAAACAGGCAUGUAAAGUUUGUUCCUAAAGAAAGUGACUACAAAGGCUUACCAUGAGAGUGUUCCAAGGCAUUGUGGGAAGGAGUUGGUUGAACAAAUCUGUGAAACCCAACUCGUCGAUGACCCAGUUGUCGCUGUCGACAUCCACAAUGGUCUUGUCAAAGUCGAAAACAACCACAAUUUCAGACAUGUUUGUUUUGGUGAAUGCAGAAACUCUGAACGGCCCAGAAGAAGAAACCUUCUUCUCAAGAACAAGGCUCUCUUUGGGUGUCUGGUGGUGCUCUCAAGAUCUGCUCUUGGCUUGGAUUGCACCCUGAAAGAGAAUGAAAAGGGUAUUUGUAGUGAAUGUGGGUUAAGAAAACCCCAAAAAAAUGAAUCUUUGAUUCCAAAGGAAUAUUACCUUGCAUAUGGAUUGUUCCUGGAAGAGAAGAAGGUGACCAAGGAAAAAGUUUCAUUUUUAGCCUCAGAAAUUUCUAGCUGUGACAUUUCAAAUUCAAUCUAAGCCGUUGGUUUUGAAGAAUAUUAGGUGGGAAAAAAAUCAGAGGGUUUGGAGAUUGAGCAUAAAUAUGGGAAUAUUCCAUUAGGGAAUUUGAUGCCUUUGAUGUGACUAUGAAACGCGCUACUCCACCAACAAGUUUACAGGUGCAACCCAUCAGAAUAUUUUGGGUAUAGUCCCUUCCCUUCCACAAACAUUUAACUCAUGCAAUCCAUUUUUAUCAAAAUUUCAUUUAUUACAAUCUUAAGUGUAAUAAUGUUCAUUGAAAAUAAAAUAUAUUCUAUAUUAUUAAAUAAAUUAGCAACAUAGUGUGUGUUCAUUAAAUGUCUUCUAUUGUGUGUCUUUCUAGCAUUGUAAUUAUUGUUAGAACACACUUAAUUUGGAGUAAAUAAAUGUGAUUUGGUGAAAAAAAUAGUAUUUACUUUAUGAAAAAAAAAAUUAAAAAAUUAAUUUAUUUACUUUUUACAAAAAAUUAUCCUUUUUAAAAAAAUUAUUUUAUUUCAAUAUCUAAAAUAGUUAUAAUUUCAAUAUAUUCUUUUCAUUUUUUUCGAUUAUAAAUAACCAGCACGUUAUUAUAUUAAGACGGACUAUAGGGGUGAAGGGGAGUCACCUUUUUCUCUUCAAAAUUAUAAUAUAGAUUUUUCUAAAAUAAAAAUUAUUUUUUACGUGUUAAAUUUAAACAAUUUUUUACAUGAAUUAUAUGACUUCUAUAUUAUAGUAUAGCGCAUUUUAUUAUUAGUUUAAAUAUUAAUUCAGACUAUUUACACUCUUGAGAAAAUAUUUAAUCUACAACUUUUUAUAUCCAUACUGUUUAUUCUUAAUUUUAAAAGUUUUAUUCCUUUUAUUAUUACAUUAAAAGAAUAUAUUAUCAAUAAAAGAUCAAAUUUUUUAAAUAAGAUUUCAAAGUAAUUAAAAAAAAACUGAAAAUAUCACUAUUACCUAGGAUGAAUGUUGCAAACACCCCAUAAAAUAUAAACUACGCACACAAUAUACAUUUUUUAUAUUAUCAUAAACUAUAGCAUAGGAGUCUAAUAUAAUAAAUAUAUUUAACUAAAUCAUAUUGAAAUAUAUAAAAUCUAACCGAAGUUCAUAGAAAAUCUUAGAUAUCUCUAUGGAAUAGUAAUGAAAUAACCAUUAAAAAAAUGACUCAAUUAAAAAUUAAAUCAACUUAAAACUAAGCAUAAAUCAUAUAUACUAUAGUUUACUCUAAAGAAUCUAUUUCAUAUCAGUUGUCAUGCAGAAUAAAUUUAUAAUGAAUUUAAGUAUAAAUAAACAGUAGAUAUAUAAGUAUUCUGUUAUUAUCUCAUACUUUUGUCUCCAUAAGUUUUUGAAGAAGAAUAGUAAAAAGAAGAAAAGAAGACUCAGUAAAAAUUCAAUGAAAUCACAAAAAAAAAAUAGAGAGAGACAAAAAAAAAUGGUGGUAUGAUAUUGAUCCAAAAUUAAAGUUGAAGCAAAACAUCAAUAACCAAAGUGUUGUUUGGUAUGUCUGCGGAACACCACCAAGAUUUCUUGUCAAUCAAGAUUAGUCAAAUGUUAUCCAAUGUUCAGAGAAAAAAAAAAAUUCCCAAAGAUGUAUAGAAAACAUGUAUUGGUAUUUGAUAGAAAUUAUAGUGGUCCACAACUUAAGACCAAUUCCAACAUUUAACAUUUGCAACUUUAUUAUAGUAUAAGUUUGGUGAAGGUUAAUUGGGAAAAAAGCUUAAAAGUUACUAUGAUACAUUCUAAACUAAGAACUGGUUAUGGGCGAAGUGGUAGGGCUUUGGGCAAAGCCUCCAAAACAGAGAGUGACAGAGUCUGAAGCUUGCAAUCAGAGGUAAUGAAGGGAGAUUUGUGCUCCAUUGACACUUUGCUGAUCAAUUGCAGCAAUACUUGUUCAAGUUCUUCUCCAUCACUCCAUCCAUGAAUCUCAGCCUUAACAACUGAAGGGUCUUUGCAUAUCAAGUCCCACACUGGAAAGUUCUUCCUUGGCAUCAUAAAGUCCUUCUCUUUCAGCCUCAAACUUGGGCAAUAGUCUCCACUCCCAUCUCCAAGGUAGAUCAACCUCUUAUCCUCUUCUGAUAUUGAAUCUUGCAUCCUCUUUAUCACCAAACCCUGCAAUCAUUCAAAUAAAAUAACAUUUUACAAUCAAAAGAUAAUUAUACAUAAUUUUUUAUUUAUUAUGAACUAUUGGUGGGGCCUAGGUCAAAAUUGUUCUUUAUUUUAUAUUUCAAUCAAAUCCAGUAGGCUCGUAUCAGAGAGAAAACAAGGAUGGCAUGUUUGGUGGUUAAGAAAAUAUUUGGUAUUUUUUAAGGCCAAGAAUUCAGGAGACAAGUUCCAUUAUAGGAUCAAUUCAUGACUCAUAAACACUUGAGCCACGUUAGGAGCAAUCUUUGUGAUUAAAAAUGGAAAAAAUAGUGUUCCAUCAGCUAGAGCCAGUUAAGAACAACUUGAAAACAAUAUCUAGAAACGUGUAUUGUUGCCAACUGUUGUAUACAUUUAAGAAACUUUUCAUCAUGAUUUAGACAAAUGACAAAACAAGAUAGAAAAAGGAAGUUGUGUAUUUACCUUGCACAUGUUUGGAGGGCACAAAGUGCAGCCAUGGGAAGCUUUGUUGAAAUCAUGGUAAGGAAGAAUCCUUAACCUCCCUUCUUCAUUCACAUAACCGGGGUUAGUAUUGAUCUCUGAGAAAUAUUCCCUUAUUCCCAAAUGCUUCAAAAUAGUCUCAAUGAAAUACGUGUUUGCAUCACUCAGAAUCCUCAAAUCACACCUGAAAAACAAAUGCCACCGUAAAUUUAAUCCACGAAUCAUAUUUACCAAAAAAAUAAAUAAAAGAAGAUGAUCAUAAUUUUGUAUGAGAGAUGCAGAGUUACGUACCCUAAAGCAUGAGCUGCUUUAAUAGCAGGAAUAACUCUGGGGUGCAAGGGAAUCUUAUGCAGAACCUCUUCAAUGUCCUUCAUGCUUUUACCAUGUGAAUGAAGCUCCUUCAUCAUUGUGUCCUUUAAAAAACCAAAAAAAACAAAAAAACUCGGUUAUUCAUGUCAUUCAAAUCAUGCAUUCUGCAAAGUUCAGUUUAAACAAAACAGAGUAUAAACCCAAAAAAUGUGGCAACAAAAAGGCUUACCAUGAGAGUGUUCCAAGGCAUGGUGGGAAGAAGCUGGUUGAACAAAUCGGUGAAACCCAAUUCAUCGACGACCCAGUUGUCGCUGUCGACAUCCACAAUGGUUUUGUCGAAGUCGAAAACAACCACGAUUCCAGACAUUAUCUGUUUUGGGGAAUGAAAAAAAGAAACCUUCUUUCUGAAGAAUAAGGCUCUGUUUGGGUGUGUGUAUAGUGCUCUGAAGAUUGGUGGUUCUUGGCUUGGUUCUACAAUGGAAAGAAAAAGGGUUAUUUAUAGUAAUGGUGAAUGAAUGAAGAAAAAAAGAAUCUUAGAUUCCAAAGGAAUAUUACACGGAUACUUCGUGGUAGCAAAGAUGGAGGCUCAAAAUUAAAAACACAAAUGUGGCCGUUUUAUUUUACACUCAUCCAAAACCUUUCGGUGCGUUUAAAAUUCAAUCUAGACCGUUGGAUGAAAUCAUAUAGGUAGGCGAAAGGAUCGGAGGGCGUAGGUGGAUUGGACCUAAGAGUAAAACACGGGAAUAUUGACAGGGAAUUGGAUGCACUUGAGGAGCCUCACCUGAGUGUGUGAAAUCCACUUCUCACAAACGCAUGAGAAUAUUCUGAGUAUAGUCCGUUCAGUUAAUUUCGCCAAUUUCAUUUUUUUUUCUGUUAUGAAUUAAUAAAUAUUGGAUUUUAGAAUCAAUAUUUACCUCUAUAUAGAUAAAUUCUUUUUAGAUUUAUAAUAAAUUAAAAUAAUGUAAUAUAUUGUAAUCAAAUGGUUUUGAUUGAUGAUGUCUUUUGAAAAAUUAUAGAAUAUUACUCAAAAAUUCAAGAUGAUAAAAAAGUAAAUUGGUAGAGAUAACCAAUUCAGAAAAUAAGUAUCAUGAUAAAAAUAAAAAAUAAAAGUGUGAUUUGAAAGGAUUUUUUUAAUAUUGUUUUUAUAUUAAAGUAAAAAGAAAUAGAUAAAGUUAGUUUUUAUUUAUAUAUUGUUAAGACUAUUAUGAUUUGAUAAAUUAUUGAUGUCUAUCAUUCUCAUCACAUAUUAGUUAGACAUAAAUUAACCAAUAUUGAUAGAGUAUCUUUUUUAUGUAUGUGAACUCAAUUUUUCAAUUUAUAUAUUUUUCAAAAUUUCUAUAGUGAUUUUUUAUCAUCUGACACCAAUUUUUUUUAAUAAUUUAUUAAUUUUUUUGUUUCAAUGUGAAAUGAAAAGCAAUUAUAUUAAUAUUAACGAAAUUUUUUACCAAUAUUAAAUGAAAGAAAUUUUCAAUUGAUAUUAAUUGAAUAGUCAUAAGAAAAAUUAUUUAAAAAAUUAUAAAAAUCAUUUUGAUGUUAAUCUAAAUAAUUGUAGAAAACCCACAAAAUUAAGAAGAAACUUUAUCAAUGUUAUUAGAAAUUUAUUAUAAAUUAUUUUAUAUUUAAAUAAUUUUAUAUAAAUACUAAUUUAAAUAUUUUAUACAAAAUUAAUAAAUUUAAAUUACCUUGUUGAGAUAAACGUUUAAACAAUGAGAUCAAUUUAAAUUUUAUAUAUUUAAUUUUUUAAAAUUAUAAUAUUACUUAUCCAAACAAAGAUUAUGAUAUUUUUUUAAUAUACUUUGAUUUAUUAAAUAUGUUGUUACGUUUGGAGUUAUUUUUAACAUAUUAAUGAUAUUUAUUUGAUAUUCAAAUAUAUUAUUUAUACUUAUUCAACUAACAACAUUUAAAUCAUACUCUUCAAAUGACUUUACCAAAUUUUCAUUUUUUAUUCGUUCUCCUAAACUUACAUAAAAAGAUAAAUAUUGUGUAAAUAAUCUUUUAUCUAAUUAACUAUUAAAGUUUUAGCUACUAAUUGUUUUAUAUUCGAAAGUUGAUAAUUAAAAUCUUAAUAGUUAAUUAAAUAUUAAUUUAAAAAAUUAAUUUAUUAAUUUUAUUAAUAAUAGAAAUUACUUUUGAUAUUAAUAACUUUUUUAGUCUUUAAAAUAAUAUAUAAUUUAAUCACUAGUGAUUGAUUAUUUAUUAUUUCUAAAAUUAGUUUCUAUUUAUUAAUUUUUUUUAGUAAAAGUUAUAUAUUUUAAAAAAAAACUUUAAAUUUAAAUUAAUCAUACAAAAUCAAUUCAAUUUGUAAGGUGAGAUUUAACUCCACUGCUUUUUCUAACAUAAAUAAUAUAUAAAUUUCACAUUAAUAACUUAUUAACAAAUUUAUAUAAAAGAAUAAUAUUUAAUAUAAAAUAUUAAGAUGAUAGAGUUAUAAUUUUCUACUUGCAUAUUAUUUAUUUUACAAAAUUUUAAUAAAAGGAACUAACACUAAAGGAAAAAAUGGUUUUAACGGGGUAUUUAUUUUUAUAUUAUUCAUGAUUAAAAUCUCUAUUAAGUCAUUUACCUAGUGUUGCAGUUUUCUCGUUAAACCAUCCCUCAGCAAGGUGUUUUCUGGGUUUUUUUAAACCUCAGGACAAAUCUUUCAAAACUCUUAUUAAAUAUCAUGGGUUUAGAAACCUCCGUAAAAUACCAGGGGUUUCAAAAACCUUUGUUAAAUACCAUGGGUUUAAAAUUUUUUGUAAAAUAUCAUGGGUUUCAAAACCUCUGGUAAAUACCAUGAGUUUAAGAACUUUCAUAAAAUACCACGAGUUUCAAAAUUUUCGUAAAAUGACUUGUCGUCUGAAAUAACCUUCAACCUUAUUUUUCACCAUCUCUAACGAUCCUCCUGACUUCUUUAUUCCAUCAUAGACACACUUGUCCCCGACACAAGCUCAAUAGCCACCAACGACAGUCCUAGCAAGGAAUCAUAAUUUAGUCACACCUAUGUCUAUUAUACCUAAGGAAAAAUAAGGCACUAUCAUUGUUUCUUCCAUCACCUUACUACCUCAACUUGGGUCACAAGUCAUUCUUACCUAGCUCGACAACAGUUGAUGUUUAUCACUGCUUUAUAUAUCCUAAAUAAUUGUAUUAUCUGUUAGAUGUGGACUUCAAAGUCAUGUGUGUAAAAUAAAUUUUUGAAAACUUAGAAAACUUAUUGUAUUGUAAAGUUAUGCUUUUAAAAUUUUAGAAAAUUUAGUUAUAAAAUAUAUUGAAACUAUAUAGUUUUUAAUGGUUUAUUUAUAAAUAGAUUUAAUUAUACUUAUUUAUUAAAGUUUGAAAAAUCUGGAGCAUUUUAUUGAAGUUCUACCAUAAAUCUUUGAAAUUUAACAAAGGUUAAAAAAACUUUCAUUGUCUUGUUGAGAUUUUAGAAUAAAUCUUUAGAACUUAACGAAGGUUAAAAAAAUCUCCGUUAUUUUGCUGAAAUUUUAGAAUAACCUUGGAACUUAAUGAAUUAUUACAAAGUGGAAUUUAAACUUAACUCAACUCCAUAAAAUCAGCUCAUGAAGUGAGGUUUGCACCCACUUAUAUAUAAUGAAAUGCCUUAAUCUAUAGUCGAUGAGGGAUCUUCAACUUAAAUGUUAAAAAACUUUCAUAAUUAAAUUAAUUUCUAAAAUUAAAUUAAGUUACUCUCAAUAAUCUCUGUUAAAACUUUUUUUUUAAGUGUAAUAGAUCACAUAUUCACAUGAAACAUGUCUAAAUCAGAUGCAAUGACAAAGGAGGUCUUGUUAAUGUCCGAAACACUUGUUAUAAUUAACAUUUGAGUAUUAUUAUUAUUAACAUGUGUUUGAUUGUGGUGUGAUCAUAUUGAUGCAUUAAUUAAAGUUUUAUUAUUAUUAUUAUUAUCUUCUUGGCGAGUUCUUAUAUCAUCAGAGUAUAAGAAAUGGUUUUGACCUACUAAUGGAAAAUUAUGAUUCUGCCACCAUUUUUGGUCGAGUUUUUUAAUCCUCUGAUUCUAUAUCUGAGGUUACAUUACCAUUAGCUGGAGAUGACCAAACAAGGGUCCCAACAUGCAUGCAUGUUGUUUUUCAACGCCAUUAAUGCUAGUGUUUCUUAAGUAUUCUUUAGUAUGUCAGCGGAACACCAAGAUUUCUGGUCAAUAAGAUUCUAGUCAAAUGUUUUCCACAGUAAAACAAAACAAUGUUCAGAGCAUAAAAUAUUCCCAAAAGAUGUAUAGAAAACAUGUAUUGGUAUUUGAUAGAAAUUAUAGUGGUCCACAACUUAAGACCAAUUCCAACAUUAACAUUGGCAACUUUAUUAUAGUAUAGCUUUGGUGAAGGUUAAUUGGAAAAAAAGCUUUAAAGUUAUUAUGAUACAUUUUUUUCAAAUACACUAAACUAAGAAGUGGUUAUGGGCGAAGUGGUAGGCCUUUGGGCAAAGCCUCCAAAACGGAGGCUGACAGAGUCUGAAGCUUGCAGUCAGAGGAAACGAAGGGAGAAUUGUGCUCCAUUGAUAUUUUGUUGAUCAAUUGCAGCAAAACCUGUUCAAGUUCUUCUGCAUCACUCCAUCCAUGAAUCUCAGCCUUAACAACUGAAGGGUCUUUGCAUAUCAAGUCCCACACUGGAAAGUUCUUCCUUGGCAUCAUAAAGUCCUUCUCUUUCAGCCUCAAACUUGGGCAAUAGUCUCCACUCCCAUCUCCAAGGUAGAUCAUCCUCUUAUCCUCUUCUGAUAUUGAAUCUUGGAUUCUCUUUAUCACUAAACCCUGCAAUCAUUCAAAUAAAAUUACAUUUUACAAUCAUAAGUAUCGGUGGGACCUAG